UUUUCACUUCCUAAAACCUAGAUGAUAAUUGCUACUUGUUCGUUUCUGUGAGAAGAAAUUAUUUAUAUCAUAAUACAAAAUGUCAUAGCCAUCGCUCUUCAUCUUGGAAAGCAGAAACUGCGAAGCAAUUGUACACGCUAUAAUAUGCAGAAGGCUUGAAAUCUAUUGUGGCGUUAACCCAGAUCAGAUAGUUAACACACUAACAACUACACAAGGCAAAACAGUUGCGUAUAAGAAUAUAUUGCAAGAUACAAGGAAAUACCUUUAAAAAGCUGAGGUUUUUAAAAGCAAAUAUAUUCAGUAUGCACCUAUCCUCUGAAGAAGCCAGUGAUACACAAAAUUUCGUAUUAACUUUCCUCUUGAUAAGCGAGUUCUGGAGGAUUUCCAUGGUAAUUGAUUAAAAUAAUAUGGGAAGCUUUGAGGUGCGGAUAUGAAAACAUAUUUACCAUACCUCGGAAAGAGAAGUACUUGUGAUUUUGGAGUUAACUUACUGAUUCGCAGGCCUACGCACCCCUUGAAAUUUUCACGAAUCAAGUGAUAGUUGGUCACCUCUGUAAUCAAUGCAAUGGUAUCAAUUUCAUUUUUCUUCUUCAUCCUCUGCUCCCUUAUUUCUUUUGUUUUUAAUCCAAGCAAAGCUGCAUUUUAAAGCUCUAUUAUGAGAUAAUAAUUUUCUUGUGGGAACAGAAGUUAAACCUACCUCCUUUCAAGUUUGAAAUUCCAAAUACAAAACAAUAAAACUACAAACCUCAGACUAAUUAAACCACAAUGCCUUAUCGGCAGAUUCGCCCCAAAUGGCGUAUGACACUAGCCUGGAAAAAUCUUCGUUGACAAUUAAAAAUAAUUGUUAUUGACCUUGCAAAGUGGAGCUCUUUCUCAAAUUUGUAUUUGGCUAAAUCUUAAGCGAAAGUUGUUAAGUACAUAACUACAAUCAAAGGCAUUGGAUCAGGUAUCAAUGAUGAAUGGAUAAUUUAACUGCAUAAAUAUCUCCCAUUAAUACUAUCUCAUGUCGUCAAGAGUACCAUUUAUUCAAAAGUUCCAAGAGGAGAACUGCAGCAGAGUCCUUGGCCUUUUUGACGCUUGGCAUUGGCUCUCCCACACAUUCAUCAGUCCAUCCCCUAUCAUUAGUAUUCACACGAACUGCAAACGUAAACCUUUUUGCAUGUGCAGGGCCACCCUCGUUCACACACCUAUAAAAGGGCAUAGGCCAAUUUAUUCGCAAGCAAAUAUCAUUCAAGAUUUGCCCGGCAAAUUUUUGGUUGCCAUUUUUCUUCUUCUUCCCAUUCUCAUCACCUUUGUCUUUAGCUUCAGCUGUUUCCUUCUCUUUCAAAACAGCAGGCGCAUAACUAGCAGCAAGUUUCUGUGCCAUCUUCUUUUGUGGAUUCUGAGCAAAUCCUACCUGGAUACCAUCAAUAAAAACUUCAACGGAAGCCAGAUUGCCACUUCGUGAGGCCUUGUUUUCCAAGCCUUCAGCCUGUUGCUGGCAACAUUCCUGCAGCUCCCUCACAGGAUGCAUUGGGAGUGUUUCUGGAGUGACCAUUGGAUGCAACAGAGGUUGAAAACCCAGGGACAAGGGGAUUGCAAGAAAAUAACAUUAUCGUCAAAUAUCCUUGAUUGUAAAACAGUAGGAGAGUAGGACAAAAAGGGUUGGGGAUGGUGGGGUGGGUUUUUUGCCCCCCCGGGUGUCAUGGGGCCACUUCCUAGCUCGGACAG
rnacentral:misc_RNA from 1 species